rnacentral:misc_RNA from 1 species
AAAAAAGGAUUAGUCAUUAUAUCCCAAUAACGAGAAACUUUCUAAGAACAGAAAACUUAGUGAAAUCUCAAACCCCGCUGCCAAUUUUAAAAUCUGAAAAUGAGGAAGUUUCUCGAGCUUCAACUACAGGCAUUGAGUCUUUCUCGUCCAGCCCAAAGAAGGAGCAAUUUUGAAAUGCAUCCAAGCUGCUGGCUAUCAAACGGUUCAAACCACUUAGGCUAUCAUUCAGAAUAAACUCUUCACUAUGGUAUUUGGACGAGGGUAUAUCGAGAUCCAAUGGUCCUAAAGAUUCAGGCCAAUAGAUAUCUGUUAGCCCAGUGAAAUCUUU